UUCGUUCGCUCACUUGCUUUUCCGUGAUUUCCAUGCUGUGCCCCUCGGACUUUUCAUAUGUCAUGAAUGUUUUUCCGCGAACAUGAACAUUAUAUACCUGUUUACUGCGGUUAGUGACAUCGGAAACUGCUUUUACAUCAACGGAAGAUAACCUAACCUCUUGUAUAUUAAUUAGUUUUUUUUUUCAAAAAAAUAUUUCUAUAAUUUUCUUUUUUAUAGAAUAUAUGGGUGGCUCGCGCUGUAAAAUACGAUGAAAGUUUGAUCAAGUGGAAAAUUGUCGAUGUUCCGUGAAACUGAACGAUCCCCGAUCCUUCUUGUACGAGGCUUCAGAGAGAAAUGAAGCUCCAAGCCAACUUUAGCAAAUAUGUUUCAAUAACAAAGUCGAAGGUUUGUUCUAGACUUGUAUAGAGAACGAAGUGACGCAUGCGUUUCAACUUACUUCAUCAAACACUGCUUGAAUUUCAUUUGAAAUAGAAAAAUGAAUAUGAGGGACAUUAAUGAAUCAUACAAGCAUGAGAAAAGUGGCGAUAAAUGCUGCGAUGAUCAAAAUUGAUGGCUUCAAUCAACGUGGAAGGUAUAACAUGAUAGUAUGUAAAUUUAAUGAAGUUGAAUUUAAUUGAUUGAUUUUCAAUGAUGAAGAGCUCUCUCUCCCCUCUCUCUGAUUUAUCAUUAAAAGCUCGAAUUGUAGCAACUGGUUUUCAAAUUACGGAAAAUGAAGUAGUUUUACAAAAAGCUCGUUUGAUUUCUGUGAAACGUAUCAUGUAGACAUUGAAUUGAAUUUUAAUACAAUUCUCUCUCUCUCUCUUUUCUCUCUCUUUUCUCUCAGUACGAGUUUUACUGAAGCGUAAAUUCGUGCAAUCAAAACUGUUUUUUUUUCACCAUAUUUUCUCCACUAACGUCAAAAAAAAAAUCUCUUUAAAAAAAAAUCGAAAAUUUUGAAAAAGAAAAAAAAAUUAUGUUAUGUUUCGUUACAAAAAUAAUUGCUAGAAAAUUAUUGUAAAUAAAUAAAAUACAUAUUUUUUACUCUUUAAAAUAUUAGAAGCCACCAUGUAAGUUAAAAAGGUAGUAAUCAGGCUUUUAAAGUUUUUCUCGUAAAAAAAAUAGACCGUAUAUAUGUAGUCUGAUAGCAUAUACAUGGGAAGAAAAACGUUGAUCGAUCAAAGAAAAAAAAAAAAAGGAAUUGAAUAGAAAGGAAAAAAAAGAACGACUCUUGGAAAAACUUGAAAAUGAAGUUCUAUUCAGUGUGUCAAAAAUUCAAAAGUUUUGAUAGGAAAAGACUUGUUAAAAUUUUCGAGUCGACGUUUUAUGGGCUACAAAUUAAAAUUUUUCAUGAAAAAUGAUACUCGAAAAUGCAAGUAAUUAAUUAAUUAAAAAUUACACUAGACUUUUCGCUAAAAUCAAGAUUUACAAUAUAAGUAAAGUAAAUAUUGAAACUAUCAAGAGUUGCAAGCACUCGAUCUU